AUACAGUCACCUAUAUACAUACAGCAAUAAUAAUGUCUAUUUUAUUCUGCUGCCCUUCCUAUCCCCGCAGGGCCCUAUCUUUAAAUUAUUUCUAAAUCUUCACCCCUUACCAAAUCUCUUUUUUUUAUUAUUUGUUUUAAUUACACAUGACAGUACAAUGACCUUGACAUAUCAUACAUUUGAAUCAGAUGGGAUAUAACCAAAUCUCUUAAUAGCGAAUUCUUAUGAAAUCAUGAAACUCAAAUUUCUGCCUUUGAUACUUUUUUGAGACUGGUAUCUUUUCCAGAAAUGAUGUCAUCUUUACAUGGAACUGUGAUUAUUUUCUAUUAUUAUAACACAUUGGGCUGGGGAUGUGGCUCAAGCGGUAGCUCGUUUGCCUGGCAUGCCUGCGGCCCGGGUUCGAUCCUCAGCACCACAUGCAAAACAAAGAUGUUGUAUCCGCUGAGAACUAAAAAAUAAAUAUUAAAAUUCUCUCUCUCUCUUUAAAAAAAUAAAAUAACACAUUGACCAG
rnacentral:lncRNA from 1 species